rnacentral:tRNA from 1 species
ACCCUUGUGGCUCAGUUGUUGGAGCACGGUGCUUGCAAGGCCAGGGUUGUGGGUUCAAUUCCCACUAGGGGAC